CACUGCCGAGAAAAGCCUCUAGAUAGAAAAUAGGUGCCCGUACCGCAAACCGACACAGGUAGUCAAGAUGAGAAUUCUAAGGUGAGCGAGCGAACUCUCGUUAAGGAACUCGGCAAAAUGACCCCGUAACUUCGGGAGAAGGGGUGCUCUUUAGGGUUAACGCCCAGAAGAGCCGCAGUGAAUAGGCCCAAGCGACUGUUUAUCAAAAACACAGGUCUCUGCUAAACCGUAAGGUGAUGUAUAGGGGCUGACGCCUGCCCGGUGCUGGAAGGUUAAGAGGAGUGGUUAGCUUCUGCGAAGCUACGAAUCGAAGCCCCAGUAAACGGCGGCCGUAACUAUAACGGUCCUAAGGUAGCGAAAUUCCUUGUCGGGUAAGUUCCGACCCGCACGAAAGGCGUAACGAUUUGGGCACUGUCUCAACGAGAGACUCGGUGAAAUCAUAGUACCUGUGAAGAUGCAGGUUACCCGCGACAGGACGGAAAGACCCCGUGGAGCUUUACUGUAGCCUGAUAUUGAAAUUCGGCACAGCUUGUACAGGAU
rnacentral:rRNA from 1 species